CACACUGUAAACGAUGAUAACUCGCUGCCGGCGAUACACAGUCGGUGGCCAAGCGAAAGCGAUAAGUUAUCCACCUGGGGAGUACGACCGCAAGGUUGAAACUCAAAGGAAUUGACGGGGGCCCGCACAAGCGGAGGAACAUGUGGUUUAAUUCGAUGAUACGCGAGGAACCUUACCUGGGCUUAAAUGUAGAGUGCAUUUUCUAGAGAUAGAAAUUCCCUUCGGGGCUUUCUGCAAGGUGC
rnacentral:rRNA from 1 species